UACGUAGGGUGCAAGCGUUGUCCGGAAUUAUUGGGCGUAAAGAGCUCGUAGGCGGCUCAGUAAGUCAGGUGUGAAAAACUCCAGGCUCAACCUGGAGACGCCACCUGAUACUGCUGUGGCUAGAGUCCGGUAGGGGAGCAUGGAAUUCCUGGUGUAGCGGUGAAAUGCGCAGAUAUCAGGAGGAACACCAAUUGCGAAGGCAGCUCGCUGGGACGUUACUGACGCU
rnacentral:rRNA from 1 species